rnacentral:rRNA from 1 species
CCCUUAGAUGUUCUGGGCCGCACGCGCGCUACACUGAUGCAUUCAACGAGUUUUUCCUGGUCCGAGAGGAAUGGGUAACCUUUUGAAAGUGCAUCGUGCUAGGGAUAGACUAUUGCAAUUAUUGGUCUUCAACGAGGAAUUCCUAGUAGACGUAGUUCAUCAGACUGCAUCGAUUACGUCCCUGCCCUUUGUACACACCGCCCGUCGCUCCUACCGAUUGAAUGGUCCGGUGAAGCGUUCGGACCGUGGCCUUUGGACGGUUCGCCGUCUGUUGGCUGCGGGAAGUUCGUUAAACCUUAUCAUUUAGAGGAAGGAGAAGUCGUANCA